rnacentral:sRNA from 1 species
UACAUUUUUCAAUAAAAUGUCCUUUCAUUUUUCUAUGUCUUUUCCGUUCUCUCUUUUCAAGCAGCUCUCAAGUCUAUGUAGUUUUUUGGUCGGAGAUUAACAUUUAGUGCCUCCUAUUAGCUUUGGGCGUUCGGGUAUUCGGGUCGGGUUCGGAUCGGGUAUUUCAGGUUCGGGUAUUUCAGGUUUAGAAAUUUAAAACCCGUUCGGGUAAUUUAAGAUUUUGGGUCGUGUUCGGGUUCGGGUUCGGGUUCGAAUUUAUUUAUAUAUUGAAAUAUCAAAAUUUCGUAUGUAAAUCUAUUAAAUUACUUGAAAUUUUCAAAAAUUUCCAAAAUAACACGAGUAGUUUUGCUUAAAUAUAUUUAAAAAUAUACAAAAAUAACUAAAAUAUCCAAAAAAAUCCUAAUAUUUUCUAUAUAUAAAUAUAAAUAUAACUAAUAUAUACUUAUAUUUGAGAUAUGUUUGGGUACCUAUUCGGAUUCAGGUUCGGGUUUUUUGGAUUUUGAAGUUUAGACUUUGCGGCGAUGAAAUUGUGAUCAAAUAACAAAGAUUUAGGUUUAUCAAGGAU